ACUCUGAAAGGAUCUCUGGUUGGAGGUCCCUCCUUUGUGGAGUUGCCCUUAUGAGCCUAGAUCUUCAGAGACAGCACUGCAUGAGAACCCAUGGUUUUGGAAAACGCAGGGUCUGGCUCCAGCCAAUAUCAUAUUGCUUUAUGACCCAAGCAUUUCAAAAAAGCUCUUCUAGAGAAGAGAUGAACUCAAAAUCUCUUCCAGUAGCAAGGGCAUGAAACUAUACGCUCCCUAUAUCUCAGCAUCUGUAACAUACAGCAAGCAGCAAGGAAGUCCAGACAUGGAGGACGGAAAGUGAAAACAAGCCACCCAACCUGAUAAUGAAAAGCAGGCACUUGGCCUUGGUGUGGAGCAUCUCAGAUAAGUAGUUUAAUUGCCAAGCUCUGAUGCUGGAGGGAGGGAAAUCUAAGCUAAAUUAAAAGAUUAAAAAGAUAUUUUUUCAUCAAGUGGCAAAAUGGAAGAUGUGGAUGAGUCUGCUCGGGAGAAAAUGAGCAGAAAGGAACUGUGAAUGUUGUGAAAAUAUAUCCAUUAGACCUGCCUUAUCGAAACGUGCUUUUGCCAAGCAUCCAGCCCUGCAUCGCCAUGGCAACAUGGCCUCAUCAACAGAGAAGAAAGUGUUUUUGUCAGGAUGGGCCCAAACACGUAAAAGCCAUUUCGAUUUGGGGGCAACACGAUCUUCUUCAAUCAAUACAGCACACAUAAUAAUGAUUCCUGCCACUUUUUUUCAUAAAUCUCCACUUUCUGCUUUCAUUUCCUGUGGUUUGACAUCACUGUGAACUGGAACCAGGUUUAAAUUUCCUACAAUUUUCAGCCCCCUCUGCCCUCAUCUACAACACACCAUGCCUCAUGCAGCAGCUUUCUCCUUUGCGCAGCACUCGAUGCGCAAUGCGCUUACAGGUGAGAUUAGCCUGACCUGAACUGUGAGAUGGGCUUUUGGGAAUCCCCAGUGGCACCACUACAGAUGUGAAGGCUGAAACUGUGGUCAUGGCUGAGACGUGGGCUGGCCAAACAUGGGAUGGUGUAUCCUUCUCUCAAGGAGUUAACCAAGGGCUAAUUACACCGGGACUGUGGGAUAGCACACAAAAGAGAGACUGCAAGUGCCUUUCUCUAGAUGCUGUGUGAGUAAAGCCAUGCAAAACCCCCAGCUUUGCUCAGCAAGGUCUGCCUGUCCAGUUCAGUCUAAUCCGGGAGAAGAUCCCUCAUCAUGCUGGUUUAAUGGGCUAAUCUCCACCUCUGCACUGUGCCUCGUGUCCUCCCCAAACCGCUGGGUUACUGUGUCCCUGUGGCUUCCUGCAGGGGCAUUAUGGUCUGCUGCAACUAAACCCCGAGAAACAGUGCCCUGGCUUUUGGGAAUAGCUCCACUGGCAGCAAAGUGGAAGAGGGAAGAGAGACUUAUUCAGUUUCUCAAGAAAGUGGGUGUGUUAAAUGUUGUGACUGUUUAAAGACUCACUGCAACUGUGGCGAUAAACAAUGUAUAGUCAUAGAAACUAACUAAACAGAAGUCUCUAAAUCCCAGACAGAGGAGUGAGAGCUCAGGACUGCUUGUUGGCAAGUGCUUCUCCUUUGUUGCUAUGCAAAAGGUGAAAAACUCAACUUGUUCUGCUGAAAACUCUGUUUUUCUUGCAAGACAGAUUGCCUCAGGUGUGUAUGAGAGGCAGCAGGGUGCAAUCCCAAACCUGUGAUGUGUGUGUACUGUGCUGCAUGGGGUUUGGUGCUGCACACAGCUCAAGCAGCCGGUGCAUGAGCUCAGUGACCACCCUGAGGAUGUCUCAGCUCAUAGCCACCAACAGCUGGAGGAGGAGGACGGAGCCACCAAUAUGGCCAUGGCCCUGAGAACAUCCAGGCAGGAUGGAUUCCAUCGUACUGCAUUGGGCUGCUGGGGUGAUGGAGCUCAGUGAGCACCCUGGGAACAGCUGCCAGCAGUUGGGUUAAAGGCAGUGUGUAUGUGCCACCUCCCAUGGUCCUUACCCAGGCAGACUGAGCAGCUUAUUACUGCUAUCCGUCUCUGUCAUUAGCCCAAGUGACAGAGGUCAAUGUGUUGGAUCGAAAGGCUUUCAGCAUGCCAUUGACCCAAGACUGGGAGAGGGAGGCAAAACGGUGUUAAAUGAUGGAAUUUCUGGGGUUUAGUAUUUUUUAUUUUUAUUUUUAAUGAUGGAACUGCUAUGUUCACAACUAUUUUAGAAGCACCAUUAGCAUGGCAGGAGCUGCUCCUCAUGCCCAGAGGUGACUGUGCGCUGCACCCACCUCCAACACUGUGCCCACCCACAGCACUGCAUUGCCUGACCUCUUCUCCAAGGAGCACCAUUCCCAUGUUUUGUUUCCUCUUGUGCUCAGUUUGUGGCCCAGUGCCUUCCUUACUGCUCUCACACUGCUAUGCUUAAUACCAGUUAUAAAUUUCCUCAUGGGCUUCUUCCCUUCAGUGCUCCUCCCCUUAGUGUCCAAGUGCCUCUCAGAGAUUAAAUUACCCCCCUGCAUUUGUAUGCAUCUUUAGUGGGGCUGCAGGGAGAGCCUCCAGCACAGGGUCCAUCCAGGGAGGGGCUGAGCACCAUUUUCUCCCCCUGCUCUCGAGAUGCUGAGUAAUGCAGCGAAUCAGAUUUUGAGAGGCAUUGUGUUUGCUGCUCUCCCUGUGUUCAGCCUCCUUCUUGGUUAUGAAUGAAUAUAGAAUUUGGGGGGAACAAAUGAGUGCAAUCUUGUUCCAUAGAUCUUUAUUCUGCCCUAAUCUUUGUGAAUCUUCAUUCUGCUCUGCUUUCAUUACUUUUUUUUUUCUUUAAUACAGAUUUCUUUCUUUUCAUCCUGUCUUCUUUUUUCUAUUUUUUUUUUGUCUUUAUCUUUCUUUUCUUCUGCUGCCCUCCCAGCUUUUCAUUACUGUCAUCUUUUUUCCCAGCCACUGAACCCUUGAUGUUGUUCUAAUUGACAGACGGGGUUUAAAAGCACAUACGAAAGCGCCUGUCUUUUUAAAUAGACUCCUGUCUCAUCAAAAGAUGUACAGCAACAUUCCAUUAGAGCACAUCAUUUGAAAAUAGAUUGGGCUUUUAGCAACCGCACUUAUAUUUUUAUAGUUAGGCUGUUCUUCUGGGAUCUUCCCUCCUCCUUGCUCCUGUUUUGGGGAGGGCACGGGGGAAAAGAUACCUUAAAGAGAGAUUAAUGACUGUUUUGUUGUGUUUGGGUUUUCUGCAGUUCUCAUGUGCUUGUUCAGUCUGUUCGCUUCUCACAGCCACGGUUUUGGAGAAAGAUUUGGAGUGAAAAUGAGGACAGAAAAUACAUAUGUGCUGAAAGGAGUCAGGACAAGGCAGGAAGGCAGCAAGGUAGCAGCUCCUGUUGCACUGCAUUGUCAGUGUUUAAUGAAAGGAGAUCCAGCCAUGACUUUCCACGUAUAAAGAGCACUUAGGUCCUGCUCGGCACCAAAGCAAACCAAAAAGACAAGAGAUGGAUCUGCCCCAGGCAUGUCCAGGUGAGCUUCUAGAGCACUUCUCCUUCCUGCCCACAUGUCUACCAACAAGGUUAGGGUUAGGGUUAGGGUUAGGGUCAGUCUUCCAUAUAUUGCUGUCCUCUACAUGCAGCUGCCCGUUCUGAUGCAGCAAGCUGAAGUGAAUAUGAGGGCUCCACAGAACAAUGCAGCCUUUCUUUUUUUCUCCAAGCUGCAGGUACUGCAGUAAUAAAAUGGAACGCUGACAAUGAGGGAGUCUUAACUUGUUUCUGGCACUUGGUGCAAGGGAUGCUGAUUGCUGAAAUUCUAGGUUGGUUGGGUCAAAGUAAUCAGAAGUUGUUUUGCUGUUGUGAGGCCAGUGUAGAACUGGGCCAGGCAAAUCCCCCACAGAAUGGGACAGAAACUCAGCGGGUGUCUCUCUCUGGAAGAAGUGCAUUUGAAGCUCCAGUUUCUCAAAACCCCACUGAGGGAAAGAAAAAUGGCCAAUUCUCUCUUGCGGCUCAGAUGGAUACAUAAGAUAUUUAUUUACUCUUCGUCCAUGCCCCAGAUAUCUGCCCCCAUACACUGUCCUUUCAGCCAGGAGCCAACCUGCUCACAGCUCCUCCAUAUUUCACCCAGGUCUCUCAAUGGAAAACAUCACUCACCUUAAGGACUGCGCUGUCUUCUCCUUCCUAAGCUUAGGGAAGCAAAUUCAUUCCUGUUCUAAACUCGGCAUUGAUGAGUAGUUGGGACUGAAUCAUCCCCAAUCUCCCCUCCUUGAUUUAUCGUCUCUUGCUAUGCUGCUAUUAAGUCUCAGAGAGAAACAACAGGUACACUUUCCAGCCCCCUCAAAGCAAGAGCUCACUGCUCCUUUUUUGUUUUCCAUGUUCCAGUUUCAUGUGUAAUAGUGAUAAUAUCUGUCGCUUUGUUGGAUCUUCACAAUAAAUGGCUUCUCAGAUUGAUUAAAACCUCUCCGCUCAGCUUGGGCUGUGCAUUGAUUUUAGCUGCUGCUCCUUGCUUUGUGUAUGGCACAUCGUAGAAAUCAGAGAUGGAAAAAACCUAUUAGGGAUCAACUUGUUUCCCACCUCCCCUUGGUUCCCUGGGGGAUGGCAGGAGAUUGUUCAUUACAAAGUAUUUAUGGUAACUUUUCCCAGUCCCUUCUCAAUUGGCCCUGAUACCAUGCAAGACCAACUACACCUAAUUGUAACCCUGGCAUUAGCAACCAGCCCCUGGUUCCUGGCCUGUUGCUCCUCUCCACUCAGCACAGAAUGUCUCUCUGGAGCACUCUAAUUAAAGAUGCUUCCUUGGGGCUCCCUCCUCUCAAAGGAAGACGCAAACAAGCCUGGCUUUGAAGUGAAUGGGUGUUUCUCUCACACUCAGGAAGGAUGCCUGGGUUCACACAUGGAGCAUCCCCACCCUCCCUUUCCUUUCACACUAACCUUUGGAGGACCAGUUUUCCUGCAGAGGUGAAUGAGCGGUUUCAGAAGGAUUCUCUUGUUGAUGACAGGACUGUUGACACCAGUCCAUCCUCUGAGCCUUGAUUUCUCUCGAACUGUUCCUCUCUGAAGCUGUCUGAUUGCAGGUAUUUCCAUUACCCUAAUUCUCAGAAGCUCAAACCUUUAUUUUAAGGCACUGGCAUGAAGGUUGUUCUCCUAUUUUCUGUCUCCCAGCCUGACACUCAGCCACUCGAUGGACCUCUCGGAGGAGUCAAAAGGAAAACAGAGACUAAAGAGAAAACGGGCACUGGCUGUGUCCACACUGGGGUGGGAACACUGAGAUCCUCUACUGAGUCCUUGGCUGUACACUCUGGAGACCUACUGAAGGGAAGGGUGGCCCUGUGCUGCCUGGGACCCAGGUUCCUUCUUCAGGUCUUGGCUUGGGAUGUGGAUUCAGGAGGUAGCGUGGGCCCUGGAGAUUGGGCCCAUGGAGAAGGGAAAUAAUUUCAGUGGAGUAACUGAUUUGUACGUGGAGCAGCAAUUCCCCAGAGAGGCAAGGAGCUGUGGCUGGAGAGAUAGCAGGCAAGCAUUCUCCCAAGGCUAUUUAUUCAUCUUAUUUCCAGAUUAAUACUCAGACCUUCAUGCUUGCUAUGCUUGCUGCCUUUCUAAGUCGGCUCUGUUAAAACUGGCAUUUCUGUGUGUUGAAAUAGGAAAGGGGGGAGAACAGGGGAGGAGGACAGUCAUAUUUCCGGGCUUGUUUGGUGAGCACACUUUGUGUUUCACCUGACACCACUGCCCUUCCUGCUGCAAAGCUGCCCUCCAAAAUCCUGCUGUGCUGAGCUGCUCAAAGCCUUAAGCAGCGUAACCAAUUCCUUCGCCUGAAAACUACACUGUAAGACCUGCUCCAACAAAGGAGGUAGAUCUGAAUGGAUGGAUAUGAAUGUACACCAGCAGAAUGAAUCUAUCAGGGACAGCUGCUGAACGAGGUCCAACCAUUUCGGCAGCCUCCCUCCAGGUGACAAGAAGGGAAUGUUUGGUGCUUUUCCUUCCUUGCGUGGGUGAGCUGCACAUGAAAGCAGAGUGGGUGCAGGAGGAGUGUGGGUAUGGUGGAGACUUCGGCGGUAUUGCUCUACUAUAGCAGCAGGAGAGUAAAACUUUAUCUCACUGUGCAUAGGUUAACAUGUGUGAAACCACUGUGUUCAGGUGCAGCCCAUUAUCUCUUAAAAUGUUUGAAGAAUGUGGUAAAAUUCCCUCAAGCCUUUCUUUCAGGCCACGUCUGCAUGGCUUAUUUAGGUCUCGUGCUCUUGGCUGAUAGCCUGUUUACCAAUGAUAGUUUCAAAAAAUAACUGCAGAUUUUACAAUUAUUCUUAUCAUUUCAGAAACACCCACCUCAUUCCCCAUUAAAUACUUCCACCUCUGGCUACGCAAAGUGUUGCUACAAUGCUCAGUGCAAUGGAAGGCAGUUAAAUCAGCAGUGAGCAGAGAGGACUGAGCCAUCCAAGAUAUGCAAAGUGGAAAUGAGAGAGACUUCGGGGCAGAUGACCACUGACAAAAUGGGGAGGACACUUCUGGAAGGCGAUGGGAGCUGGGAAUCAAUUUUUUUCAUAGUUCUCAUUCGCUAUAGGCUACAUUCACAUGAGAAAAUUGAUAACUUAGACUGCAUCUGGGAGGUAGGACACUUGGUAGCUCUGUCAGUCACUGGUUGGCUAUAUGACUUGAGGCACUCAGCCGUCACAAAUUUCUCUUCUACUUUCCUACAAGAAAGAAGGCAGUGGGAGGCUAUAAAGCACGUUGGGAUCCUCAGAUGAAAAACACCAGCAAAUCAGAGCUGGACUUGGUCUCUCUGAUGGUAUAUCAAGAAUAAUUACAGUUACAUCAAAGGUUUUCAGCUGGUUUGCAGGCAAUCUUAAUUUUUGUUUUUAAUUUUUUAUUUUUUAAUUUUUUUUUUUUGGCACUUCUCCAAAAUAAAUCCCUUUUUGAUAGAGAUGUUUCCUUCCAAGUAAUUUUUCUAGCUUUUGUAUUGUGUUUUCUUCCACAAGUUAAAAAGAAAAAAAAAGUAAUGCCAUCGAUACCUACCUGGAUUGGAAAAUUGGAAAUUUGAGAUUCACUUGACAUAACCCCUGCCCCAAAGCUAUCAUAGUUAUUGAUAGCUGUAUAGUUACUGUCUUUACUGGAAGCCUCUGAUUUUACUUCUGUUUCAAUUAAAGUUUCCUUAGGAAGCCUUAGGUUUCCCUUCUCAUUCCAGCUUCCCAAGGGCUCUGGUCUCAAUUUCCCAUUUUCUCCAUUUCUUGUCCUGCUUGCUCUUACGGUCUCAGGACCAAGAGGCUAAGCCAUGCCCAGACCCAUUUUUUAGGUAUUUUAACAACUGAGCUACAAGACAUUCCCAGCCAAGACUGGUACACAGAGACUCUUAGAUUUUUUCCAGUUAUGUGUGGAUUUAUACCUACAUGUCCUUCCAUCAUCCUCCUGUCAAAAUUUGAAACCUACCCACCAAAAUUUUAAGGAAUGAGAACUUGGGUUUGACCCUAGUUUUAGGUUUGCAACAAAAUCCACCUCAGGCCCCGGUUCUCUCUGUUAAUAGCAUUUAUCAUGCUGUGGCGGACACCAAGCAGAUAAAUCAGCAGGACCCCUUCCUAGGACUGAACAGCAUUAAACCUUUAUGUCACUGUGCGAUCCUUAGGUGGACAGUGAUAUAUGUAAAGUGAGAAGUCUUGCUCCAACAGAGCAAAGUCGAAGGUCUGUGUUUGAUCUUCAGCAAUAAUUACAGAGGAGGACUUUGCUCCUAGCUGGACCUAGAACUACUUUCAUGAAAUUUAGUUCAUCACAAUUUAGACAUGAAGACCUAUUGGAAGAUCAAAUUUUGCAUGUAAUGCCCUACUCUGUCAGUAACAUAUUUGCCAUAAAGUUAAACAAGAAGGUUAAGAAAGAGCUCCUAUUUCUAGGUAACUACGCAGGCAUAAAAAAUAAUAAUUUAGUGGAUUUGGACAGGAUAUUUUUUCCUUUUCAUUCACUUGGCUCUAAAGCAGCCUCAGCUUAAGAAAUUAAAUUUGACAGGCGAUUAGCCCAUAAUGUGGUGCAAUCUCUUCUGGUAUUUGAAGGAAAAAUUGAAAACAGACUAGGUGUUUAACUUUGAAAUGUCUGCCUUGGAUGUGAUGGGCAGGAACUUUAGUUUUUUGGCACCAAGAGCUGGGUGACUCGUGGAACGAACUGAUCUCAUGCCCACAGGCAAGAUAGGGUAGGUGAGGCCAGCUGUGAAUAUACAGCAGUAACCAGCAUGGGUUUGCUUUUACCUACUGGGAAGUUUAUUGCUAUUCCACUGUUUGUUAAGGAAACUCAAUUUUUUCAGUGAGUCAAAGUAUAAGUCUGUUCCUUUCAUUAUUCUCACAUAGCUUCUGCCCCAAAUGCUUCUUUUCCAGCAGAGAGCCUGAGAUGGGCAGAUGUGGAACUAGAUUCUGAAUUGUGGCUUAUAUAUGUAUGUUCCCACAUUGUUCCAGUACAGCUUUGGAGUUUCCACAUGAACUCCCAUGCCUGUGAAUUAAAAAGGAAAGGCAUGCAGGUAGCUAUGAAAUGAUGUCAGAUUCACUUGCCAGGUCUCCCAGGCAAGGGGAUAUGUCAGCUAUGCCUUGGGGAAGGAUAGCUCUGCUGGCUGUGCAGUGCCCUUCCCCUGAUGUACCACAGGCAUUGGAGAGUCAUCUCUAGCACAUCCUGGUCUCUCUUUUUCCAUCUGUUCCUCUUUCUCAUGAAGAAAUGACUUUUGAUGGCCAUAACUGACAUAAACCUCAACACUGCAAGCAUCUGUGAAUGUUUUCAUGAAGCAUGAGUUGGCCUGUUGAGAAAACCAUCCAGUGCUCUCCACAACAGAGUCUUCCUGUGAAGAAAGAGGAGACUGUUUUCAGUGUAAAGUCAUUCCUCAGCAGCACUCCUGGGGCAGUCUGGGCUAGGGAAACAUUAAAUGAUAUCCAGCACAUGUGAUACCCUUUGUCACAUAGAUGAAAUCCAUGAACUUGGAGAGAGCUCAACAGUAACAACGCCCUUUAUCUAUUAAGAGAGGAGAGCUUAGGUCUCUUAUCUCUUCAGGCACUCACGCCAAGUAAAAGCUGGAAUGGGUCUUCACCUCUUAGAGUUUUCAGUUUCUCGUCUUUUGGCUCGAAAACACCAAGGAAGGGAGAGAAGAGCUUUUCAAUGUGCUUGGGACCGACUCCAGGUGGGAGCAGUAGGGACUAUUUUAUUGCUUUCAGUUGAUAGCCCUCCCUCCCUGCUCUCCUCUGGGCUGCCUACAGCCCCCAUUGCCCUCCUGGGGCACUGCACUGCAUUGCAAGGAACACUCUCCAUCUCUAGCAUUAAUUCCUGACUGCAAGCAUUUGGCAUUUGGUAUAAACUGCUUGCGGCCAGCAAGAACCAAGCUGCUGCCAGAAGACUUCGCAUUGCUUGAGAAGAGGGAAGGAGGAACCCACGCAACACCUGAGUCCUAACCACCUCAAUGAGAAAGCAUCAAUUAACCUCAUUUGCCAGCUGGACCUGUCCUAGGGCGCCCUUGCGGGGACACUGUGCCUUGAGCAGAUUGAUGCUCCUAUUAGGCAGAUGGGAAGUGAGGGGACAGUCUGAUGAGCUCUUUAACUUUUACUGACUUCCCUAUACCAACCUCUUAGCUAUUUUAAUUCCCUUUUGAAGGCAAUAAAGGGAGGGCUUUUAGCUCACCAGGCUCAUCUGAAAUGUCUCAGUGAAGUGACUGAAACUCUAUCUUAAUAUUCCCUGCGACUGCCAGUUCCAGUGGCUAGUUUCUGACUUUCAUGGCUCUUGGGUUUCUUUCUAUAUAGUAAAUAUAUAUAGCAUUUCUUGGUUACUUUUUGCGUGCUUGUUUCUUCUCUAGCACAACAGACAGACAGAUGGCUGUGACUGUUCUGCUAGGCCAAAGAAUUCUUGGCCAGAUUCCUCAGAUGAAUAAUAUGGUGAUAACUUAGUGGUGUUUCCUCACUGCUCCAGUGCUGAGCGGGGAGACAAAAUUAGAGGGAUAUAUCAAGGAGUAGAGGAAGGGGAAAUUCAGAUAAUGACAAGGUCGGGGAAAUAUUAGCAGCAAGGAAGACUUUUGGCAGGGUUUUGCUUCGAGUAACCUCGGCUGGGCUCAGCCUGACUUCUUGAAAGUUUUAAAACAACAGCAAGAAAAAAAUGCAACUCAGCACACAAAUGUGUCCAGACAUCUUUCUUUCUUAAAAUGCCAUUACAAAUGGGGAGUGCAAAAGCAGCUUAGAGCUGGCAUUUCAAAGGGGGCUGGGGGUGGAGAGAAAUUGCAAGGUAAACAGGACA